UACGAAGGGGGCUAGCGUUGCUCGGAAUCACUGGGCGUAAAGCGCACGUAGGCGGACUCUUAAGUCGGUGGUGAAAUCCUGGAGCUCAACUCCAGAACUGCCUUCGAUACUGAGAGUCUCGAGUCCGAGAGAGGUGAGUGGAAUUGCGAGUGUAGAGGUGAAAUUCGUAGAUAUUCGCAAGAACACCAGUGGCGAAGGCGGCUCACUGGCUCGGUACUGACGCUGAGGUGCGAAAGCGUGGGGAGCAAACAGG
rnacentral:rRNA from 1 species